GACAACUUAAUUGUUUGAAGUGUAUUGUUACCAUUUACACAAAAAUGAAGAGAUGGUUUGAACAGUGGGCAAAAAGGGAUCUUCAGACAUCAAACAAGGUUUCUAAAUCGACCAAAACAAAAAUUCACAGACUAAGAUAACAUCAUCCAUUAGCUGUCAAAAACAUCUCAUCACUUCUCCUUUUUCUCCGCGGGGACAACCUUCUUCAUCCGGGCUCCCAGCUGGUGCUGGUUCAUCAACUCGACACGGAACUUCUUGCCGCCGUGAGUGAUGGGCAUCUAAUCGCCCUGGCCCCCUGGAUGGCUGUAGCAAGCUCCUCUGUUAGAAUUGAAUCACCAGGCUUGGAGCAAGAGAGGUGUAAACACGGAGAAAAACAAUACAAAGCUCACUAAUAAUAGGUUGAUGGUAUUUCUUAUACACAAACUGAAACUAAUGACUGCUAGAAUUCCACCAUUCAACCGAUGUUACAAGCACCUGAAGACAUUAUUAUUCCAAAUAACACCACCGUAACUGAAGCAACCAACAAACUAAACUCUAGAACAUCAAAGGACAAUCAGAUUAAUCCUUCUCUGAAGCUCGCAUGAUAGAAAUGCCAACUUCUAACCUAGUUCAAAGAUACUGUAUAUAAUAGAUUGGCAUCGUUAUGUCUAAUAUGCAAUAAAUUAUGCAACAAAUAGAAUCCAAUAAAUCCAGUAAAUCUAAUUUUCAUUCUUCUAUGUAUAUUAGUUUUUUAGAUUUAAGAGGAGAAAUAUUUCAUGAACAUUUAAAGUCAUCAUGCUUUGAAUUAGACGACACAAGCAUUAGAACUGCAUUUGCUCGAUCCUUGAGUGAGACCUUUCUACUCCCAAGAAAAGAAGAAGAGAAGAAAAGUGUAAUCUGGAUGUGGCAUCAAUAGCAUAGCUAGAAAGUAUAUAUAUAUGCAGUUGUUCAAGACUGACUAACCAUUUUGCAUUGAAGUUUGCAAAUAAAUCAUUUUCAUAUUUGAACAAGGGGACUUGUAAACCUCAGGAACAGACGUUUCUUUAAGAUUUAACAAAUAGCAGCAGAAACUCUGCAUGAAAGAAACAAUUCUGAUGCACUGAGAUAAACAACUCCAAUGUACUUGUUGAUAUGAAGGUGAUCGAGUAGAUAGACUGACACAGACAACAGUAAGCAUACCUCUUGUCAAUCUGCACUUCAGAGCCUAGUUACUUUUUGAGCCAAUAUAUGCAUCAACUCAGGAUCCUCCGCUGUAUAAACCUGGUAUCACGAAGAAAGGCAACAAUAAGCAUACCUCUUCUCAAUCUGCACUUCGGAGCCUAGAUUUUGUAUCAAUCUCAAUAUGAAAACUGAAGCAAUAUACAUUGGCAUACCAGGAAGAAAGGCAACAAUACCCAGCAACAAAUAGGCCAUACACCUGAGAGCUGUCAGCAUCCAUGUGACCUUGAAACUGCAUAAGGAAAUAUCAUAGCAAAAGUUUAAUAUUGUCUGAUAGGACACAACAGCCAUGUAUCUUUCUAAGAAAGUUGACAAUCAGCUUGUAAACAAAAUACCUUGCUAGUUGCAAAACAACCUUCGGUAUCAUCUUUGUAUCAUUAUGUAGCAAAGGUCCCUACUUUAUAUUAGCCUAACAAACCUGCCGAAGCUAUCUGCACAACUCCACAAAAAUCAGAAAGAAUUAAGAGAAUUAGUAUUAAAAGGAGAGCAGUAUGCCUACAAGGAUGAAAUAAUAGGAUGGAUUGACAUGAACUACACACGCAUUAGUAC
rnacentral:lncRNA from 1 species